rnacentral:rRNA from 1 species
AUGGUUAAAAGUGAUAUGCACAUAACUUUCCCCUUGGUUUACCGUCUUGCUGAGUUAGCAUUGAUUUUACCUGUUGCAACUGCAACAGUGGAAAGAGCAUUCUCAGCAAUGAGCAUUAUCAAGACUGGAUUGAGGAACAAAAUCGGUGAUGAUUGGAUGAAUCAUAGAAUGGUAUGUUACAUUGAGCGAGAUGUAUUUGUCCGUAUUGAAGAAUCAAAGAUCAUCGAGCGAUUUCAAGGUUAUCACACACGUAAAGGUGUUUUGCCUCGUCCUAUAUGUAAGUUCUCACAUUUUGCAUGUAUCAUUAACUAG